UGAAGGAAGAAGAAAUUCUUACAUGGAGGAGUCACUCCGAUGGUGUUUCAAGCAUGAUUCAGGUAUGCGUUCUUGAUUCUUCACUUCUGUCUUCUUCUGCUACGAAUUCCUCUUCUAAAUUGUUAUGUUGUGAUGUUGUUGAGAUGCCGAGAAAUGUUGAGAUUUGUUGGUUGAAGAUGAUGAUUGAAGUUGCGAUGAAGAUUGAUGAAAUGAUUCGAUUGAAGAAUAGAGAGUGA